CGACCAGCGCCAUCGUAACGUGCCUUGUCCUCGGCAACAAUUGGUGUUUAUUUUUAUAUACGAAUAAUUGCAAUGUCAAUGCGAAGGCAUGCAAAGCACGUUUUCUCAGACUCAGCAACCACAACAACAACAAUAGCAACAGCAACCGUAGCUGUAAGCACAGUUAGAAGCGCUAGCAAUUGGUGUGACAGGGAAAGACAGAGACAAGUGCAAUGGCUGCGGCUUGCCGUUUGCUCUUGCUCUCUCUCUCUCUCUCUCGCUAUCUCUCUCUCUCUGCUUCUUCUGCCUCCCACACGAUGACAACAACAGCUUUCAUUUUGGGCUACUUCGCAUGCUGUGUGCGUAUUUUAGCCAUUGUCCAGCUAAAGAAGAAGAAGAAGAAGAAGCAGCAGCAGCAGCUGUCGGCUGUCGGCUGUCGGCUGUUAGCGAUCGCGCGUGGAAAUGAGGUUAAGAGCAAAUAAAACAAAAAUUUCGCCGUGCCCAAGUAGAACCGAAAUAAUAAUGAUAACAAUAACAAUAAUAAUAAUUAGCUACAGUCGCUGACACUUUUACUCAUUACGCUUUAUUUUACUAUACAUUAUUAUUACAAUUUUGUUUUGUUCAGGAAUUUGGAUUUCACUACGACAAAGAGAAAGAAGCCGAAGCUGUUUAUAUCUAUGAAUGCUUGAGGCAAACACGUCUCAUCAAUUAAGGGGCAAGCAAGAAGUACUGUUAGUUCUUGGCGCUACAUUAAAUAUGCCAAUUAACACACAUUUCUGAAAAUACUGUGAAUUUUCACAAAUAUUUCGUAUUUAUCCUAUCUGACUGGAACUAUAUACACAUAGAUUUGCGCACAAAAUGAACACAAUGACAGCAUUGUGACCCAGAAACAGAAUUAUCUUCUUUGUUUUACAGUUUUUUGUUUUAAUUCUUCACCGUUUUGCAAAUAUUCAAAUCGUUUUUUAAGGUUGGGUUCAUCUUCGUCACACUCAAGGUAGAAGAACAAGAACAACAAAGAUCAGAGGCACGCAUGAAUGAGAUUUUCACGCUCCGAAGGGCAUAUAUACAUAUGUACAUGUGUAUGUGUGUGCGUACGUGUGUAUGAAAAGACCGGCUCGAAGCACAACCAUCCAAAAAGAAGAAGCAGAUGAAAAAAAAAACAAUCACGGGACUCCAUAAAAAUCAAAGUAUGAAUAUGUUUAGCCUACUUUUCAAAAAACGGAACGAAUGAAA